AGCGCGGGGCGGUACCGUGGGAGGGGCCGCGCGUGGGGCAGCGGGUAGCGAGUCCCUCCGUCCCCGCGAGUCGGCGCUUUUGGCCCCGCGGGAGGGGCCGGGCUCGGUGAGCGACUGGCGGGGGCUCGGGUCCGAGUCCAGGGGGCGACGUGGGCCGCGGACACCGCCAGCCACGGGCCCUGCGUCCCUCCAGGGAGCCGUGUUUCGGUUCAUGAGGCCUCGGGCUGUGAGCUUAGAUGAGAAAAGCAUCAUUCAAGCUCAGAUUCGUGUUGAAGCCUGCCACAAGGUCCACCUGUUGUUGUGGGUUUGUGGGUGACCAGGGGUUACCCCCAGCAGUGUGUGAGAAUGAAGAGUGUGGGCCACUGUGUCUCUGUUGACCUGCCAGAUAGGAAAUAGCGCCAGAGUUGCUGCAAUCCACGUCUCCCUGGAAUUCAGGAGCAGCUUGGCUGGAAGGCUCUGGCUGGAAGCUUGCAGAAGGCUGUCAGCUGGGUCUGCAUCAUCUGAAGGCUCAACGGGUACCGGGGGCCACUCCAUGGCCUGCGAGUCAGAGCUGGCCGUCGGUGGGAGGCCUCAGUUCCUCUCCACAUAGGCCUCUCCACAGGGCCACUUGAGCAUCUUCCCACCAUGGCAACUGGUGUCCUCUAGAGCAACAUCCAGGAGACCAAGGCGGAAGCAGCUGUAGUGCCUUCUAGGACCUGGUCCUGAAAGUCACCCCUGCACCCACCCCCGCUGUCUCCUCAGCCAUAUUCUGCUGGUCACACAGAGCGCUGCAGGAUAAAG
rnacentral:sRNA from 1 species